GACGAACGCUGGCGGCGUGCUUAACACAUGCAAGUCGAACGGUGAAGCGCCUUCCUUUUUGGUGGGUGUGGAUGAGUGGCGAACGGGUGAGUAACACGUGAGUAACCUGCCCCCUUCUUCUGGAUAACCGCAUGAAAGUGUGGCUAAUACGGGAUAUUCUGGGUCUGUCGCAUGAUGGGUCUGGGAAAGAUAUUGUUUCGGUGGGGGAUGGUCUCGCGGCCUAUCAGCUUGUUGGUGGGGUGAUGGCCUACCAAGGCGGUGACGGGUAGCCGGCCUGAGAGGGUGGACGGUCACACUGGGACUGAGACGCGGCUCGGACUCCUACGGGAGGCAGCAGUGGGGAUUAUUGCACAAUGGGCGCAAGCCUGAUGCAGCGACGCCGCGUGAGGGAUGGAGGCCUGCGGGUUGUGAACCUCUUUCGCCAGUGAAGCAGGCCUGCCUUGUUUGUGGGUGGGUUGACGGUAGCUGGAGAAGAAGCGCCGGCUAACUACGUG
rnacentral:rRNA from 1 species